AUAGUAUCAAAUCUACAUUCAGUUUAGAGUGACACGAAUACAUCACACAGUAGGCAGUAUAAGAUGAACCGUGUCCCCAGGUUCAACUGGCAGCUGGUGGACGAGAUAGAAGACAACAAGGGACAAAUAUGUCUUUUAACGUGUCAAAUACAAUUUAAACCUUAGACAUAGAUUAUAUACAAGUGCUUGAACAGCGCAAACAUGAGGAAUUUUUUACAAUGUCGAGGACAAAUAAAAAGCAAAAAAAUAUGACAUCAUUUUGGUCUCUUAAAUUCUCUCUAGUAAUGUACAAGAACAGCAUAAUGCCAGCGUCUCCAAUGGCGCCCCGUUCCCUAGGGCAUAGGGUGUGAUUUGAGAUGGUGCCCCGUUCCCUAGGGCAUAGGGUGUGAUUUGAGACACAGACCAAUGGCGCCCGUUCCCUAGGGCAUAGGGUGUGAUUUGAGAUGGUGCCCGUUCCCUAGGGCAUAGGGUGUGAUUUGAGAUGGUGCCCCGUUCCCCAGGGCAUAGGGUGUGAUUUGAGAUGGUGCCCCGUUCCCCAGGGCAUAGGGUGUGAUUUGAGAUGCAGACCAAUGGCGCCCCGUUCCCCAGGGCAUAGGGUGUGAUUUGAGAUGCAGACCAAUGGUGCCCCGUUCCCCAGGGCAUAGGGUGUGAUUUGAGAUGCAGACCAAUGGUGCCCCGUUCCCUAGGGCAUAGGGUGUGAUUUGAGAUGCAGACCAAUGGCGCCCCGUUCCCCAGGGCAUAGGGUGUGAUUUGAGAUGCAGCCAAUGGUGCCCCGUUCCCCAGGGCAUAGAGUGUGAUUUGAGAUGCAGACCAAUGGUGCCCCGUUCCCCAGGGCAUAGGGUGUGAUUUGAGAAGCAGACCAAUGGUGCCCCGUUCCCCAGGGCAUAGGGUGUGAUUUGAGAUGCAGACCAAUGGUGCCCCGUUCCCCAGGGCAUAGGGUGUGAUUUGAGAUGCAGACCAAUGGUGCCCCGUUCCCUAGGGCAUAGGGUGUGAUUUGAGAUGCAGACCAAUGGCGCCC
ensembl:lncRNA